UACGGGGGGGGCAAGCGUUGUUCGGAAUUACUGGGCGUAAAGGGCUCGUAGGCGGCCAACUAAGUCAGACGUGAAAUCCCCAGGCUCAACCUGGGAACUGCGUCUGAUACUGGAUGGCUUGAAUUCGGGAGAGGGAUGCAGAAUUCCAGGUGUAGCGGUGAAAUGCGUAGAUAUCUGGAGGAAUACCGGUGGCGAAGGCGGCAUCCUGGACCGACAUUGACGCUGAUGAGCGAAAGCGUGGGGAGCAAACAGG
rnacentral:rRNA from 1 species